rnacentral:rRNA from 1 species
UAACAAGGAUUCCCCUAGUAACUGCGAGUGAAGCGGGAAAAGCUCAAAUUUAAAAUCUGGCAGUCUUUGGCUGUCCGAGUUGUAGUCUGGAGAAGCGUCUUCCGCGCUGGACCGUGUACAAGUCUCCUGGAACGGAGCGUCAUAGAGGGUGAGAAUCCCGUCUUUGACACGGACUACCAGUGCUUUGUGAUGCGCUCUCAAAGAGUCGAGUUGUUUGGGAAUGCAGCUCAAAAUGGGUGGUAAACUCCAUCUAAAGCUAAAUAUUGGCGAGAGACCGAUAGCGAACAAGUACCGUGAGGGAAAGAUGAAAAGCACUUUGGAAAGAGAGUUAAACAGUACGUGAAAUUGCUGAAAGGGAAACGCUUGAAGUCAGUCGCGUCCGCUAGAACUCAGCCUGGCUUUUGCUUGGUGCAUUUUCUAGUGGACGGGCCAGCAUCACUUUUGGCUGCGGGAUAAAGGUCGCAGGAAUGUGGCACCUUCGGGUGUGUUAUAGCCUGUGAUUGUAUACCGUGGCUGGGAGUGAGGACCGCAGCACGCCUUCAUGGCGGGGGUUCGCCCACCUUCGUGCUUAGGAUGCUGGCGU